rnacentral:tRNA from 1 species
UGUAUGUGUAUGUGUAUCUAUAUGUUUCCUUCUUUUGCUUAUUAAUAUAAG